CCUUCGGGGUGAGUACAGCGGCGGACGGGUGAGUAACGCGUAGGAAUCUACCCAGUAGUGGGGGACAACUAGUGGAAACGCUAGCUAAUACCGCAUACGCCCUACGGGGGAAAGCGGGGGACCUUCGGGCCUCGUGCUAUUGGAUGAGCCUGCGUAAGAUUAGCUUGUUGGUGGGGUAAUGGCUCACCAAGGCGACGAUCUUUAGCUGGUCUGAGAGGAUGAUCAGCCACACCGGGACUGAGACACGGCCCGGACUCCUACGGGAGGCAGCAGUCGGGAAUAUUGCGCAAUGGGCGAAAGCCUGACGCAGCCAUGCCGCGUGUGUGAAGAAGGCCCUAGGGUUGUAAAGCACUUUCAAUUGGGAGGAAAAGCUAAUGGUUAAUAACCAUUAGCCCUGACGUUACCUUUAGAAGAAGCACCGGCUAACUCCGUGCCAGCAGCCGCGGUAAUACGGGAGGGUGCAAGCGUUAAUCGGAAUUACUGGGCGUAAAGCGCGCGUAGGCGGUUUUUUAAGUCGGAUGUGAAAGCCCCGGGCUCAACCUGGGAACUGCAUCCGAUACUGGAUCACUAGAAUGCGGGAAAGGGAGGUAGA
rnacentral:rRNA from 1 species